AACGAACGCUGGCGGCAUGCCUAACACAUGCAAGUCGAACGAGACCUUCGGGUCUAGUGGCGCACGGGUGCGUAACGCGUGGGAAUCUGCCCUUAGGUUCGGAAUAACAGUUAGAAAUGACUGCUAAUACCGGAUGAUGACUUCGGUCCAAAGAUUUAUCGCCUAGGGAUGAGCCCGCGUAAGAUUAGCUAGUUGGUGAGGUAAAGGCUCACCAAGGCUACGAUCUAGUCUGGUCUGAGAGGAUGAUCAGCCACACUGGGACUGAGACACGGCCCAGACUCCUACGGGA
rnacentral:rRNA from 1 species